CCUACGGGGGGCAGCAGUAGGGAAUAUUGCUCAAUGGGGGAAACCCUGAAGCAGCAACGCCGCGUGGAGGAUGAAGGUUUUCGGAUUGUAAACUUCUUUUGUUAGAGAAGAUAAUGACGGUACCUAACGAAUAAGCACCGGCUAACUCCGUGCCAGCAGCCGCGGUAAUACGGAGGGGGCAAGCGUUACUCGGAGUUACUGGGCGUAAAGAGCGCGUAGGCGGGAUAGCAAGUCAGAUGUGAAAUCCUAUGGCUUAACCAUAGAACUGCAUUGGAAACUGUUAUGCUAGAGUAUGGGAGAGGUAAGUGGAAUUCUUGGUGUAGGGGUGAAAUGCGUAGAGAUCAAGAGGAAUACUCAUUGCGAAGGCGGCCUACUAGAACAUAACUGACGCUGAUGCGCGAAAGCGUGGGGAGCAAACAGGAUUAGAUACCCUUGUAGUC
rnacentral:rRNA from 1 species